UCUGGCUCAUCAGUCUGUGUUCUGAAAGUUCCCUGAAGGGGCACUACACUAUCGUCAGGAUCAGGCUCUGUCGUCACGACUCCAUUUUGAGAGUCAUCCGGGUCAGGUUCUACGAAAUUUCCAAUCAGAUGGGUUUGAGAAUCUAAAUCAUCAGGAUCAGGUUUUCCAUGUACUGGAGUUUUUGCUAACACCUGGUCUGCCUUCGAAGGAGGCACCCACUCUGUCAUCUCUGAAUCAUCAGUAUCUGGUUCCGAAAAAAUUCUUCUUUCAUUGGUUUCAUCGUAAGGUUCAGAUUUCAUGAUUUCCCCAGCUCUACUAUCAUCAGGAUCAGGUUCAAUCUUGUUCUCAUUGCUGUUGCCAUCAUCAGGAUCGGGCUCAUUGUUGGGUUCGCAGUGAUCUUUGUUUCCUUCUGUCAUAUUCAAUUCAUUCCCUGUAGUAUGUGCACAAUCAGGUCCUUGAUGAAUAUCAAGCCCAAAAUCAUCAGGGUCAGGUUCUUCAUGUGCUACAGAUGGUCCUGGUAUAUUACUGAUCGCACUCCCUAAACGGCGAAAAGCAGCAGCCACUGACGACGCACGGGCAUUAGCCAGUUGAUCUGUACCCUUUCCCCCAAGCUUUUGAGAGAAACUGCUACUGUCACU
rnacentral:lncRNA from 1 species